CGGCUGGAACGGCGCAGAUCACCGUUAGCCACGGCCGCGGCGUCCUCCCGGGCUCGCGUCGUAGCCGGAGGGCCUGGCAGCCGCGUUCUCCGCUGGACCAGAGUUCUGGGGAGUUCCUCCCCGCGGGGCUGCGGUGAGAAGACUACGAGGUGAGUAACAGAACCCCCUGUGGUCAACUAGCCGAAGGCACGGCGGAAGGAAUGAUGUGGGAACAGAGAAGGUCCUGUUCCAUCCUGGAGCAGCACCAUUUCUCAGGCCUGAUCACAUCGCAGAGCAAGCCUCUGGUCACACAGGAGUUGCCCUGGGGAGACAAACAGGAGUAUUCCCGUCCUUGGAGAGGACACUCCCAGGUAUGAGUUGGGACUGGGUCUGAACCACGGGGCCACACGCAGCACGAGCUCUUACUCUCUGCAGGAACAGGCUCUGACUUGUUGGAGCUGCAGGGCAGACUACAAAGCCACCUGGUCGCCCAGACAGGGUGGCUCCUUCAGGGUCUUAAACCGUAGUGGUGUGGCCCAGGCAACUGAAAUGAAAGGAUACAUACAAAUAUAUGACAAAGGUGAGGCUAAACAAAACCGCUCACUUUAUCUUGGCUGCUUUGCAGGGCAAAGGGCCCUGGCUUGGGCUCAGACACUCCUGGAUUCCAGCCUUGCUCCAUGGGCCGAGCGGGACCUUAUUCCCGUUUCCCUCUAGAAUGGGGCGAAUAUCUCAGGUGCUGAUGGUUAAAUGAGAUGUAUAUAAUACCAAAUACGCAGAUAAAAUAUCCUGAGAAUCCUAAGUGCAAAUCAAAACAUUCUGCUCCCCUCUGGACUUUCCUUAGCAUUUUUCACAUACCUCCAAUAUAGCACCUAUAUACCACUUACUUAGUUACACAUCUCUAAAUGAAGCCAAGUGUGCUCUGAGGCUUAGGUAUUUCAGUUUCCUGUACUUGAAACAUAUUAAAUGUCAGUAAAUGAUUGAACAGAAGGAUUAUGAAUUAAGAGGGUAUGGGCAGUUGUUUUAGCAGAAACUCCUACCCUUCAACUGCUACUGAAGGAAGUUCUGUUGGGACCUGGUUUCUGAGUCACAUGGAGGGGGAAACGGGCUCUGGAGGCAGACUUACUGGGUGAGUCCAGGCAAGUGACACCCCCCCCCCAUGAGCCUUGUUUUCAGCUGUAAAGUAAGGUUAAUAAAGCUUAAGCAAAGGGAUUAUAAUGACUGUGUGUGAGAAACCCCCCCAGUGUGUUGGGCCUGCAGUAGGUCCUCAGUAUUAGCUAGUAUUCCUCAAGCAUAGCUGCUGAACCUUCUUGGGUUUCCCGUGUUAUUCUGUUCAAUAAAGGCAUGUCAUUAACUGCU